AGAAUUUUCGGAUUUAUACAUCAAGAAACGAUUUAUAAAUUAUUUUCUUUAUUCACACCAUUAAAUAGGCAAAUUCAAUCAAUUACCAUUCCAACUGGCUUUGGGGACGGCUUUCGUUAGCUUCCUUAAUGCAGCAAAAAGGGCCGGAAUCGCUUUCACACACGAUCAUGGUUUUCCUUAGAGCAGGAAAGCCUGCUCGAAUUGUUGCCGUAAUCUUCUUAGUUAAGCAGAGGACCAGUGCAUCUGGUGACUAGCUGACCGGACGCAGCAAUCGGUCUGCAUAUCAUCCGCUUGAUGCUGUUAUCUUUAAAGGACUAUACCGUCCCUCGUGAUCCCUGGCUACUUGCGGUGUUGCCCGUCAUCAUAUGCACCGACACAAUCGCGCUGGAAUUUCUGCGUUCGCUGUUCUGAUAUUGGGCAUUGGGCUUCGUUGGCAUUGGCAUGAAACCUAGAAUUUGACUGGAACCAUCUGUAGGGAUGCGGCAGCUGGAAUAUUACCGAGAAGAGGGAUGAAAAAAGAUAUUGAAACUGUUAAAACCAAAAUAUAAUGUCUGGGAGAACAGUUGGGUAAAGUAAGGUGAGCAACUUACCAUGAAGGCAUGCUGGCCGAAAUACAAUCGCAAGAAAAAUGCUCCGUCCAUCCGGCAAUAUGUUCGCGCUCGCGGGUCAACAUUUUUUCGGGAAUCAACUUUUUUUUUUCUUUUUUUCAUGCCCCAACAAUAUACACGAUUAAUGGAUUUAGCUCGUUUUUCGUUUCAAAACAAAUCAAAUUUGGAUUUUCAGUGAUAAAAAAUGAGUGUGUACAAAUAAUAAAAUUUUGUAAUUAUUUUCAAUCGUUUUUUUCAUGAACAGCAUUAAAAAAUAUGCAUUGAAAAAACUAAAUAUAAUGACAAAACGGUUUGUUGAAUCGACCCCCCUUCUUUUUUCUGCGUGUACAUAAAAAGAGGCUUAAUUUUACCACGCGGAACGUUUUGUGCAUUCGAAUAUAAAAUUUUGGUUAUCGUGACAAUACUGUGGUACAUUUUACCAUGGUUGUCAAUAGCCAAAGUACUUUCAAUUAGUUGUGUCAUCUUGCACUUUGUUGCCUCCUUGCCAUUGAAAUGGCUUUGGAUUUCAAUUUACUGUUGAAACAUUGGAAAUAAUAUUGAUUUAGUGCUAUGUGCCGCGAUCUUAAAGAAGGCCAUUAAAAUCUGGAGUGCAAGCAGAGUCAUCAACGGCCGCAAAUUUCAACAGUUUAUAAAAUGUUCAAGAAUGAUGAUUCGAGAAGACCAAAAUAAAAUCUUAGGACAACCGCGGAACACCGGAAACAAAAUGUCGAAGGAACCUUCUUCACGUUCGGUUUUGGCAUAUAGUUCCUGAUUCAGUGUGAAUAACAAAAAAUUUUAUGUGAAAAAAAAAUAACAGUGAUGAAUAAAUAAACCAGCAUUUUAAAAAUUUAAAUGAUUUCAUUGAAUGCAUGGAUAAAUUACCAUAGUUUUGUCUUAAAUACCAUGCCGUAGUAAAAUUGACCGUCAUUCUGCCAUAACGCACCAUAACACGUUCACAUGGUAAUUUUAACUAAUCUGUUGUUCAAGAUAACCAAAAACGUACUCGAAAAAAAACCAUCUGUUUUUAUUUUUAAAUUUACCCUCGGAUAUGGUAACGGUUACCAUGAUUU